rfam:Schistosoma haematobium scaffold296_58, whole genome shotgun sequence.
AUCCGACUGAAGAGUCGCAAACGGGACGAAACGUGAGUCCUGGAC